UACGUAGGGGGGCAAGCGUUGUCCGGAAUCAUUGGGCGUAAAGCGCGUGUAGGCGGCCCGGUAAGUCCGCUGUGAAAGUCGGGGGGCUCAACCCUCGAAUGCCGGUAGAUACUGUCGGGCUAGAGUGCGGGAGAGGCGAGUGGAAUUCCUGGUGUAGCGGUGAAAUGCGCAGAUAUCAGGAGGAACACCAAUUGCGAAGGCAGCUCGCUGGAACGUAACUGACGCUGAGACGCGAAAGCGUGGGGAGCAAACAGG
rnacentral:rRNA from 1 species